UACGGAGGGUGCAAGCGUUAUCCGGAUUCACUGGGUUUAAAGGGUGCGUAGGUGGGCAGUUAAGUCAGUGGUGAAAUCUCCGGGCUCAACCCGGAGACUGCCAUUGAUACUAUCUGUCUUGAAUAUCGUGGAGGUAAGCGGAAUAUGUCAUGUAGCGGUGAAAUGCUUAGAUAUGACAUAGAACACCAAUUGCGAAGGCAGCUUACUACCCGAAUAUUGACACUGAGGCACGAAAGCGUGGGGAUCAAACAGG
rnacentral:rRNA from 1 species